AUUGAACGCUGGCGGCAUGCCUUACACAUGCAAGUCGAACGGUAACGGGCCUUCGGGUGCCGACGAGUGGCGAACGGGUGAGUAAUGUAUCGGAACGUACCUUUCAGUGGGGAUAACGUAGCGAAAGUUACGCUAAUACCGCAUAUUCUGUGAGCAGGAAAGCAGGGGAUCGCAAGACCUUGCGCUGAUUGAGCGGCCGAUAUCAGAUUAGCUAGUUGGUGAGGUAAAGGCUCACCAAGGCGACGAUCUGUAGCGGGUCUGAGAGGAUGAUCCGCCACACUGGAACUGAGACACGGUCCAGACUCCUACGGGAGGCAGCAGUGGGGAAUUUUGGACAAUGGGGGCAACCCUGAUCCAGCCAUGCCGCGUGAGUGAAGAAGGCCUUC
rnacentral:rRNA from 1 species